AGAUGAUUUUCUGCAGCGGAAAUCAAACGAAUGUGGUGGAACGCUACCUGCUGCGUCAUGAAGCUGGUCAGGUCGGCGUGGUGCUGUCGGGCGGUGACCCGCUCUCCGUCCUCCAGCCAGCGCAGCUCUUGGAGACGUUUCUUGAUGUGACCGAGAGAGCGUGUCUUUAUGAUGCCGCUGUAGAAAAGGGGCCCGGCCGCGGGACAGGGGUCGUUCCUGGAAUAAGCCCGCAUUGUGGUGCUACAACACCAGGGCUGGUGCAGUGGUAUACCUGCAGCGCAUUGUCCACAUGUAUCCGCUGUCUGGCCGCGUGCUGCGCCCGCAGUGCGGCGAGCAGCAGGGCGUGCGCGUGCGUGCGCUGCGUGCGGGCGUGCGCGGCGCGGAGCACGCACUCGCACAGCAGUGGAGCCGUCGCCGCGUUGCUGACCGCAUUCGCGGUUAUUUCUUUGGCAUUUCCGUCCUGUUCACAUAGUGCAAUAUUUAUUCACAUACCUAUAUUAAGUUAACUUAAUUUAAUAUUUUAAAAAUAUACAUUAAUUAAAACAGUUUCAUUGUGAGAUUAGUACCAUAAGAAAAUAAAUAGUAUAAUAGUGCAGUGUAGACAGAAACAUUUAAACGAGUGCUUAUACUGCAGGUGUACAUAUGAUGUUGUCACAUGUGAAUAUAUGUUUUUUGUUGAAUAA